rnacentral:SRP_RNA from 1 species
CGAGAGAUUGGUUGGACAGAUGACUCGCCAACCCGGUCAGGUCCGGAAGGAAGCAGCCGUAACGGGAUAUUCUGGGUCAAUUCAGUCUCUCACCA